rnacentral:tRNA from 1 species
ACAGGUGUAGUUCAAUGGCAGAACUGCGGUCUCUGGAACCGCGGACGGAAGUUCGAGCCUUCCCGCCUGUGCCA